rnacentral:lncRNA from 1 species
AAAAUGAGGCUGAGGACCCGAGCCCACGCAAAUGGUGAAACUUUAAGAAAGAAGAAUAAAUAGAACAAAAAAGAAUGAUUGUUCUUGUUGUGACUAAUCAAUUUUAAAUUUUAUCUACUGACUUUUUGGUUUGGUGGAUGAAGAUUUAAUUUUUCAUAUGAUAGAUUGAAAUGUCUGGCCAGGUCAUUUGAAGAAGAGUGUAUUAUGGAUGCUGUCAAUUUCUAAGCCAGAUAGGAAAAAUGCAAGAAAUUAAAGUACACGCCAAUCCUAAUUAUAAAUAGAAUGGCAAAAUGCCCAAACAAAAUAUUAACAAAUGGAAUUCAGCAGUUUA